rnacentral:rRNA from 1 species
UACGGAGGAUCCGAGCGUUAUCCGGAUUUAUUGGGUUUAAAGGGAGCGUAGGCGGCCUGUUAAGUCAGUGGUGAAAUCUUUCGGCUCAACCGGAAGCUUGCCUUUGAUAUUGAUGGGCUUGAAUGUAGUUGAGGUGGGCGGAAUGUGACAAGUAGCGGUGAAAUGCGUAGAGAUCAGGAAGAACAUCGGUGGCGAAGGCGCUCUGCUGGACCAUAACUGAUACUCAGGGACGAAAGCUAGGGGAGCGAAUGGG